rnacentral:rRNA from 1 species
UACGAAGGGGGCUAGCGUUGUUCGGAAUUACUGGGCGUAAAGCGCGCGCAGGCGGCUAUCCAAGUCAGUGGUGAAAGCCCGGAGCUCAACUCCGGAACUGCCAUUGAAACUGUUUAGCUUGAGGACGAGAGAGGUGAGUGGAAUUCCCAGUGUAGAGGUGAAAUGCGUAGAUAUGUGGAGGAACAUCAGUGGCGAAGGCGGCUUCCUGGCUUAAAACUGACACUGUGGCGCGAAAGCGUGGGUCGCAAACAGG